rnacentral:rRNA from 1 species
GUGUCAGCCGCCGCGGUAAUACGUAGGUGGCGAGCGUUGUCCGGAAUUAUUGGGCGUAAAGAGCGCGUAGGCGGGAUGAUAAGUCUGUCUUAAAAGUGCGGGGCUCAACCCCGUGAUGGGGCAGAAACUAUCAUUCUUGAGUGCCGGAGAGGAAAGCGGAAUUCCCAGUGUAGCGGUGAAAUGCGUAGAUAUUGGGAGGAACACCAGUGGCGAAGGCGGCUUUCUGGACGGUGUCUGACGCUGAGGCGCGAAAGCCAGGGGAGCGAACGGGAUUAGAUACCCCGGUAGUCC